GAUGAAGAACGUAGCGAAAUGCGACACUUGGUGUGAAUUGCAGAAUCCCGUGAACCAUCGAGUCUUUGAACGCAAGUUGCGCCCGAAGCCUCGGCUAAGGGCACGUCUGCCUGGGCGUCACGCAUCGCGUCUCCCCCAAACCGCCAAGGCGGAGGGGAAGGAAGAUGGCUUCCCGUGCCUCACCCGGGCGCGGUUGGCCUAAAUUUGGAGCCCGCGGCACUUAGCUCUCGCGGCGAUAGGUGGUGAACAAGGCCUUGGCCGUGCAAACAACCCGCUGCGAAGCUCUAUGUCACGUGCGCUCGUCGGACCCUUUGAAGUUGCCUUUGGUGACUUAAAACCUUUGCGACCCCAGGUCAGGCGGGGCUACCCGCUGAAUUUAAGCAUAUCAAUAAGCGGAGGA
rnacentral:misc_RNA from 1 species